UGACAGGACAUUGCUGAAUGGAACCAGA
rnacentral:piRNA from 1 species